UAUUCUAUGAACCGUAAUAAUUAUUCUUUAACAUCUCAGGAAUUUAUAUCACCUGGACAGUCAAAAUAAAUCUCUCAUAGUCUUCAUCUUCUUUCAAGUUACUUCAUCAGACAUCACAUAAUAUAAAUAAAUACAUAAACAAACGCGGCGCGUACUCUCCUAAUUAAUAUUUAACAUAACAUGCUUUCAAGCAUUAUUCAUAACUCUCAUAAUCUUCAUCAAACUUAUUUCUCUCAAUAAGUACUUCAAUAAUAACAUUCAACUUUUCAUAAAGAUUCUAGGUCUUUCACUAACACCAGCGCGGUAGAUAAUGAUCAAGAGUCUAGACAAAUAUAUAGUUGAAUGAGGAGGUACAAAAUAUGCGCAGAAUAUCGCGUAUUAAUAAAUAAAUAACAAUCACCUUCCUACGUCAAUAUGUUUCAAUCCGAAAUAAUAAUUGUCUAUUUUAUAA